GAAAAAGAUAUUGCUGUGAUUUAUGUCAAAGAGUGCUCUGCCUAUGUUUUCCUCUAGGAGUUUUAUAGUAUCCAGUCUUACAUUUAGAGGACCACAGAGAGGCGCAGCUGCACCCCCAUGAGAAACCACACGGACAGCCGCUUCCCCCAGGCCUCAUUCCACCAAAAAUACACUGGGUGUCUGCCCCUGUGUUAUGGUCAAGAUCGCCAUCUGCUUCCUGAGUUUCAGGAUCACAGCUGACAGAAGCGUAUCACAACCCCGCCCUGCAGCUGCUCUGGACCAGGAACCACAGAGGUCCAGACGUGGUAGCUGGGCUCGGCAGGGAUCUGAGCCUUGGGGGAGCCGUCUCACUUGGCCUAACUCUGAGGGAAGAAAGACAAAGUCUUCUAGGGACCAGCACCGUACCGAGGGCUGGUCAGGGAAGAAGGUUACAGGUGUGCGCGUGUAUAAUUGAGACAAUAGUAAACAAACGGUUUUCCAUCUUGACUCUCUCGCUACAGAGCAUCAAGACUACAAAGAUACCUUCAGAAAUAUCACUUGUAUUAUAUGCUGGAUUAUAUUUAAGAGGACACCACAGUUUAUCCUCUGUUACUGGGCAUUUGAAUUGUUCCCAACAUUUUGUAAUAAAAAAACUGUGUUGACCAUCUGCGUACAGGGUGCUCAAAACACUUCCUGAAUGAGCAUUGUACACAAAUCUUUGAUUGGAACUCUGAUUAUUUCUUUAGAAUAAAG